rnacentral:rRNA from 1 species
UGGGGAAUUUUGGACAAUGGGGGAAACCCUGAUCCAGCCAUCCCGCGUGUGCGAUGAAGGCCUUCGGGUUGUAAAGCACUUUUGGCAGGAAAGAAACGUCGCGGGUUAAUACCCCGCGAAACUGACGGUACCUGCAGAAUAAGCACCGGCUAACUACGUGCCAGCAGCCGCGGUAAUACGUAGGGUGCAAGCGUUAAUCGGAAUUACUGGGCGUAAAGCGUGCGCAGGCGGUUCGGAAAGAAAGAUGUGAAAUCCCAGAGCUUAACUUUGGAACUGCAUUUUUAACUACCGGGCUAGAGUGUGUCAGAGGGAGGUGGAAUUCCGCGUGUAGCAGUGAAAUGCGUAGAUAUGCGGAGGAACACCGAUGGCGAAGGCAGCCUCCUGGGAUAACACUGACGCUCAUGCACGAAAGCGUGGGGAGCAAACAGGAUUAGAUACCCUGGUAGUCCACGCCCUAAACGAUGCUCAACUAGCUGUUGGGGCCUUCGGGCCUUGGUAGCGCAGCUAACGCGUGAAGUUGACCGCCUGGGGAGUACGGUCGCAAGAUUAAAACUCAAAUGAA